rnacentral:rRNA from 1 species
GACGAACGCUGGCGGCGUGCCUAAUACAUGCAAGUCGAGCGCAGGAAACUGACGGAACUCUUCGGAGGGAAGGCAGUGGAAUGAGCGGCGGACGGGUGAGUAACACGUAAGGAACCUGCCUCAAGGAUUGGGAUAACUCCGAGAAAUCGGAGCUAAUACCGGAUAGUUCAUCGGUCCGCAUGGUCCGUUGAUGAAAGGCGCUCCGGCGUCACCUUGAGAUGGCCUUGCGGUGCAUUAGCUAGUUGGUGGGGUAACGGCCCACCAAGGCGACGAUGCAUAGCCGAGCGGAGAGGGGGAUCGGCCACACUGGGACUGAGACACGGCCCAGACUCCUACGGGAGGCAGCAGUAGGGAAUCUUCCACAAUGGACGAAAGUCUGAUGGAGCAACGCCGCGUGAGUGAUGAAGGUUUUCGGAUCGUAAAACUCUGUUGUAAGGGAAGAACACGUACGAGAGGGAAUGCUCGUACCUUGACGGUACCUUACGAGAAAGCCACGGCUAACUACGUGCCAGCAGCCGCCGUAA